AUACGUAGGGGGCAAGCGUUGUCCGGAAUUAUUGGGCGUAAAGGGCUCGCAGGCGGCUUCUUAAGUCUGAUGUGAAAUAUUGCGGCUCAACCGCAAGAGGUCAUUGGAAACUGGGAGGCUUGAGUAUAGGAGAGGAAAGUGGAAUUCCACGUGUAGCGGUGAAAUGCGUAGAGAUGUGGAGGAACACCAGUGGCGAAGGCGACUUUCUGGCCUAUAACUGACGCUGAGGAGCGAAAGCGUGGGUAGCAAACAGGAUUAGAUACCCUGGUAGUCCACGCCGUAAACGAUGAGUGCUAGGUGUUAGGGGUUUCGAUACCCUUAGUGCCGCAGUUAACACAUUAAGCACUCCGCCUAGGGAGUACGGCCGCAAGGCUGAA
rnacentral:rRNA from 1 species